AUAAAAUCUAAUUGCUCGUAUUCCUCUUCUAGUUUAGAUAUUUGGUUUUUUAUAUCACUUCUUGCAGAUUUUAGCUGUAUCAGGUUUUGCAUGCAUUGAACUACUUUAUUUGGCUGUCCUGUUUUUAACUGAUGUAAUAAUACAUUUUUUCUUAUAGUUUUUACCUCAUCGACAGUAAAUAUAAGAUCAGCUAAAUCAUCCCAUAGAAAUGAAACAGUACCUGUAUAUAAUCUGUAAAUAUAGUGCAUUAUUCACAACUAUGAUAUUAGGAUCAAACUAUUAAUCAUUGCAAAUUGUUGGUGGACAUCUCAAUUUGUGAGCCCAUGCAAAUGGAUCAGUAGAUUUUUCCAUAUUUCUAAACACAUAAAAAAUAUAUGUAUUCGUAGAUAAACAUAAUUAAGUAACUGAUUUUAAAUGUACAUAUGUAAAUAGGAAUGAAAUAAAAUUUGAUGGUCACCUUUAUGUAAA